rnacentral:rRNA from 1 species
UACAGAGGGUGCGAGCGUUAAUCGGAUUUACUGGGCGUAAAGCGUACGUAGGCGGCUUUUUAAGUCGGAUGUGAAAUCCCUGAGCUUAACUUAGGAAUUGCAUUCGAUACUGGGAAGCUAGAGUAUGGGAGAGGAUGGUAGAAUUCCAGGUGUAGCGGUGAAAUGCGUAGAUAUUAGAAGGAAUACCGGUGGCGAAGGCGGCCACCUGGCUUGAUACUGACGCUGAGGUGCGAAAGCGUGGGGAGCAAACAGG